rnacentral:rRNA from 1 species
GACGAACGCUGGCGGCGUUCUUAACACAUGCAAGUCGAACGGAAAGGCCCUGCUUUUGUGGGGUGCUCGAGUGGCGAACGGGUGAGUAACACGUGAGUAACCUGCCCUUGACUUUGGGAUAACUUCAGGAAACUGGGGCUAAUACCGGAUAGGAGCUCCUGCUGCAUGGUGGGGGUUGGAAAGUUUCGGCGGUUGGGGAUGGACUCGCGGCUUAUCAGCUUGUUGGUGGGGUAGUGGCUUACCAAGGCUUUGACGGGUAGCCGGCCUGAGAGGGUGACCGGCCACAUUGGGACUGAGAUACGGCCCAGACUCCUACGGGAGGCAGCAGUGGGGAAUAUUGCACAAUGGGCGGGAGCCUGAUGCAGCAACGCCGCGUGCGGGAUGACGGCCUUCGGGUUGUAAACCGCUUUCGCCUGUGACGAAGCGUGAGUGACGGUAAUGGGUAAAGAAGCACCGGCUAACUACGUG